rnacentral:lncRNA from 1 species
AUGGAGGAUGGAGGACAGUGAGAAGAAGAAAGGAAGAGAAAUGCAAAGUGUGGCAGCCGCCAAGAGUGAAAACCCACCAAGAUGGAAGUGCCAUGCACGUACUGGACAGAAGGGGGCAGGUGGGACAAGCCCCACAGCCCCCUCAAAAACGACCACUUCCAGGAGUCAGUGCUCCCUGGGGGGCAGGCUCCGCCAGCCCUUGGCCACACGUGGCUCUGGCACCCAUGGUCCCAGUGCCUUGGAUGGAGGCGGCCAGGUCUGAUGCUCUGGAAUCCAGUCCCAUUUCCAUCCCGGCCACGCCCAUCCGGCAGCCUCUUUGGUCGCAUUCAGCCCCUACUCACCUGGAGACCCCGGGUGGGGCAUGAGUGCACCUGGUGGG